rnacentral:misc_RNA from 1 species
ACUAACUAUUUGAUCCUUGUAUUUGGAAAAUAAACUAUUUAGUCCUAUAUUUUUGUUUCUGUUAAACUAUUUAAGCCUUAUAUUUUGCUUACAUUAAACUAUUUAGUGCAUGUAUUUUGCUUAUAUUAAACUAUUUAGUCGCUUCGUCAAAUUUUCCGUUAGUCAAAGGAUUUUAAGACUAAUAACUCUACUAUUUAGUCUCUCUAUUUUAGUGAA